AACCUAUACAGAUGUAUCAACGCAAGACAGUUGAGCAUCUCCCUGUAGGAACAUGUUUUAAUAGAAACAUUAAUAAUAAGUCUUAUUGUGGAGCUUAUGCGUUGAAAUAAGAUGAGUUAAUGUGGAAUAGGUUAAUCGUAAGACCUUUAGUUGAAAAACUACAAAAUUGACCUAGAAAUAAAGAUUUCUAAAUUCUUUGUUUUUCUAGUUACGGUUCG
rnacentral:sRNA from 12 species